GUGACAGCCCAGGAGACUGAAUCCUCUGUUUAUCUCGCAGAACAGCUGCCAGCUUGGGCAGCGGCAGGGUGAGCUUCCCCCGCAAGCCCUCCCCCUUUUGGAGAUGAAAUAAGAGAGUUCAGUUCAGUCGCUACCCAUUCAUUCCUUGGCUUCU
rnacentral:sRNA from 1 species